AAAGACCGCAAUUUUGUACUAUUUAUGUCCAACAAUUGACCGUCCGUCGUAUUUGAAAAAUUUUUAUGAUUAGUAUUUUUUAUUGUUAUUAGAUGAUAAAACAUAAAUAGUGCUUUAUGUGUAACUAAUAUUAUUUUUAAUUUUUCAUAAAUUUUUUAAAUAAGACGGAUGAUAAAACGUUAGACAUGAAAACCCACAACUGCACUAAAA
rfam:Oryza rufipogon genomic scaffold, chr12